GACGAACGCUGGCGGCGUGGAUUAGGCAUGCAAGUCGAACGGUAUCAUCCUUUUCGGGGGUGAGAGAGUGGCGAACUGGUGAGUAACACGGUAGUUAUCCUACCCUCAAGACGGGGACAACCCGAGGAAACUUGGGCUAAUACCGGAUGUGAGCUAACGUUUUUAGUUGUUUAGAAGGUGGACGUAAGCUGUCGUCGUUGGGGAUGAGCCUGCGUACCUUAUUAGUUAGUUGGUGAACGGUAACGGCUCCUACCGUACGGAUAAUUGAAGUAGGGUAGGCGGUACCCGGUUAACGGUCGGUCCCCCGAACUCGUAGGGUAUUAGAGUA
rnacentral:rRNA from 1 species